rnacentral:rRNA from 1 species
UACAGAGGUCCCAAGCGUUGUUCGGAUUCACUGGGCGUAAAGGGUGCGUAGGUGGUGAUGCAAGUCUGGUGUGAAAUCUCGGAGCUCAACUCCGAAAUUGCACCGGAUACUGCGUGACUCGAGGACUGUAGAGGAGAUCGGAAUUCACGGUGUAGCAGUGAAAUGCGUAGAUAUCGUGAGGAAGACCAGUUGCGAAGGCGGAUCUCUGGGCAGUUCCUGACACUGAGGCACGAAGGCCAGGGGAGCAAACGGG